rnacentral:snRNA from 1 species
GUGUUCACUUCAUCACCACAUGUACUAAACUUGAAACAAUACAGAGAAGAUUAGCAUGGCCCCAGCGCAUGGAUGACAAGCAAAUUUACGAAGUGUUCCAUAAUUAA